GAGCUGAGACACGCAGAUUUGUGUUUGAGACCGAGAAAAACUAACUUGAGACGCCGAAAUUUGAAAAGAAAUGCAGUCCCAACAAAAAACCUUCCUACAGGUACUCAUGAGAACAUAAAGAAGAAAGAAAGACUGAAUUUAACUAGAUAUGAUCCUGUACAACAACCAAUUUUGAAAUCUGACUGUGAAGUAAUGACACAAAAUCAAGAUGAAAAUGAACUUCAUGCUCAGGAAAUUAUUCAAUAAUUUUUGAGCAGAGUGGUGUCAUAUCCUCCCUGAAGCCUAAUGAGGAUGCCAUUAUGGUGGAUUGAAGUUUUCUAAUUGAUGAAAUUUGUUCGGAAAACGGAAUAAAACUGAUUCGCCCACCAUUCAUGCGAAACAGAAAACAAAUUUCUCUUCAGGAGGUUGAACAAAAUAUAUUCAUAGCUAGAGCAAGAGUCCAUAUCGAACGUGUGAACCAGAGGAUAAAAAUUUUCAAAAUUUUGAGUAAUGUUUUACCGUGGAACCUGGUUCCUAAAAUAGAAGAAAUAAUGAUUAUAUGUUGUGCGAUUGUAAACCUGUCCAGCCCCAUUUUUUCUGAAGAUAAUUUCUGAAUAUUUUUGUAUUUUGCCUUUAUUUCGAGUAGCAAUAUAGAUGUUAAAUCUAAAGCUUCUGUGUAGCGAAACAGUUGUUAUUUAUAUAUAUAUAUAUAUAUAUAUAUAUAUAUAUAUAAUCUGUAUCCCAUUUGUCACCUUUCAGUGUAUGGGUUAGUUGUUAUUUAAAUAAUAAAUAAGUGGAAAUAGAAUAACUGGAAUUUUAUUUCAAAAAAUAUAUUAAUUUUUCAAUUAUUCAUUACAAAUAUGGUGUAACAUUUUCUC